GUUUGUUGAAUGCUUGGAUUCCAUAUGAUACUAGUCCUAGUCCGGGACGAACUAACUAACGGUUUCAAACUCGGGUUGCAAAGCCUUAACUUGAAAUCGCUAGGAAACCCAUUCUUGGACAUAUGAUCUUGGGAUUCCGGAUCUGAUCCGGGAACCUAGGGUCAAAUGUUUGGGCACGUGGUAGUAGUAUCUUCGAUCUGGUUAGAGUUCUUUAG
rnacentral:lncRNA from 1 species